rnacentral:rRNA from 1 species
GGUCAGGACGAACGCUGGCGGCGUGCCUAACACAUGCAAGUCGAGCGAGGAGAUUCCUUCGGGAUGAUCCUAGCGGCGGACGGGUGAGUAACACGUGGGCAACCUGCCUCAUAGAGAGGAAUAGCCUUCCGAAAGGGAGAUUAAUACCUCAUAACAUUGCAGUUUCGCAUGGAACAGCAAUUAAAGGAGCAAUCCGCUAUGAGAUGGGCCCGCGGCGCAUUAGCUAGUUGGUGAGGUAACGGCUCACCAAGGCGACGAUGCGUAGCCGACCUGAGAGGGUGAUCGGCCACAUUGGGACUGAGACACGGCCCAGACUCCUACGGGAGGCAGCAGUGGGGAAUAUUGCACAAUGGGGGAAACCCUGAUGCCAGCAACGCCGCGUGAGUGAUGACGGCCUUCGGGUUGUAAAGCUCUGUCUUCAGGGACGAUAAUGACGGUACCUGAGGAGGAAGCCACGGCUAACUACGUGCCAGCCGCGGC